GGGCUCGUGAUGUAGUGGUUUAACAUGCCUUCUUCGCCUUCGGGCCCCGAAGGUCCCCUCGGUUCGAUUCCGAGCGAGCUCA